rnacentral:rRNA from 1 species
AUUGGACGCUGGCGGCAUGCCUUACACAUGCAAGUCGAGCGGUAACAGGUCUUCGGAUGCUGACGAGUGGCGAACGGGUGAGUAAUACAUCGGAACGUGCCUAGUAGUGGGGGAUAACUACUCGAAAGAGUGGCUAAUACCGCAUGAGAUCCACGGAUGAAAGCAGGGGAUCGCAAGACCUUGUGCUACUAGAGCGGCCGAUGGCAGAUUAGGUAGUUGGUGGGAUAAAAGCUUACCAAGCCGACGAUCUGUAGCUGGUCUGAGAGGACGAUCAGCCACACUGGGACUGAGACACGGCCCAGACUCCUACGGGAGGCAGCAGUGGGGAAUUUUGGACAAUGGGCGAAAGCCUGAUCCAGCAAUGCCGCGUGCAGGAUGAAGGCCUUCGGGUUGUAAACUGCCUUUGUACGGAACGAAAAGCCCCGGGUUAAUACCCUGGGGUCAUGACGGUACCGUAAGAAUAAGCACCGGCUAACUACGUGCCAGCCGCCGCCGUAA